rnacentral:rRNA from 1 species
UACAGGGGGGGGCAAGCGUUGUUCGGAAUUACUGGGCGUAAAGGGUCUGUAGGUGGCUUGCUAAGUCAGACGUGAAAUCCCUCAGCUUAACUGGGGAACUGCGUCUGAUACUGGCGAGCUUGAGUGCAGGAGAGGAACGCGGAAUUCCAGGUGUAGCGGUGAAAUGCGUAGAUAUCUGGAGGAACACCGGUGGCGAAGGCGGCGUUCUGGACUGCAACUGACACUGAGAGACGAAAGCCAGGGGAGCGAACAGG